GACGUAGGGCGCGAGCGUUGUCCGGAUUUAUUGGGCGUAAAGAGCUCGUAGGCGGCUCGUUGCGUCAACCGUGAAAACCUGGGGCUCAACUCCGGGCCUGCAGCCGAUACGGGCGAACUAGAAUUCGGUAGGGGAGACUGGAAUUCCUGGUGUAGCGGUGAAAUGCGCAGAUAUCAGGAGGAACACCGGUGGCGAAGGCGGGUCUCUGGGCCGAUAUUGACGCUGAGGAGCGAAAGCGUGGGGAGCGAACAGG
rnacentral:rRNA from 1 species